CCUACGGGAGGCAGCAGUAGGGAAUCUUCCACAAUGGGCGAAAGCCUGAUGGAGCAACGCCGCGUGGGUGAAGAAGGUCUUCGGAUCGUAGAACCCUGUUGGUAGAGAAGAAAGUGCGGGAGAGUAACUGUUCACGUGUCGACGGUAUCUAACCAGAAAGCCACGGCUAACUACUUGCCAGCAGCCGCGGUAAUACGUAGGUGGCAAGCGUUAUCCGGAUUGAUUGGGCGUAAAGGGAACGCAGGCGGUCUUUUAAGUCGGAUGUGAAAGCCUUCGGCUUAACCGGAGUAGGGCCUUGGAAACUGGGAGACUUGAGUGCAGGAGAGGAGAGUGGAACUCCAUGUGUAGCCGU
rnacentral:rRNA from 1 species